rnacentral:rRNA from 1 species
CCAGACUCCUACGGGAGGCAGCAGUGAGGAAUAUUGGUCAAUGGCCGGAGGGCUGAAUCAGCCAAGUCGCGUGAGGGACGACUGCCCUAUGGGUUGUAAACCUCUUUUAUAAGGGAAGAAUAAAUGCUACGUGUAGCAUGAUGCCUGUACCUUAUGAAUAAGCAUCGGCUAACUCCGUGCCAGCAGCCGCGGUAAUACGGAGGAUGCGAGCGUUAUCCGGAUUCAUUGGGUUUAAAGGGUGCGCAGGCGGGCCUUUAGGCCCGGGGGUAAACCCCGGGGCCCACCCCCCGCCGAGCCGUCGGAACUGGGGGCCUUGAGUGCGGCGGAGGCAUGCGGAAUGCGCGGUGUAGCGGUGAAAUGCAUAGAUAUCGCGCAGAACCCCGAUUGCGAAGGCAGCGUGCCGUGCCGCCACUGACGCUGAGGCACGAAAGCGCGGGGAUCGAACAGGAUUAGAUACCCUAGUAU